GUAGUCCACGCCGUAAACGAUGAAUACUAGGUGUAGGGGUUGUCAUGACCUCUGUGCCGCCGCUAACGCAUUAAGUAUUCCGCCUGGGGAGUACGGUCGCAAGAUUAAAACUCAAAGGAAUUGACGGGGGCCCGCACAAGCAGCGGAGCAUGUGGUUUAAUUCGAAGCAACGCGAAGAACCUUACCUAGACUUGACAUCUCCUGAAUUACUCUUAAUCGAGGAAGUCACUUCGGUGACAGGAAGACAGGUGGUGCAUGGUUGUCGUCAGCUCGUGUCGUGAGAUGUUGGGUUAAGUCCCGCAACGAGCGCAACCCUUAUUGUUAGUUGCUACCAUUUAGUUGAGCACUCUAGCGAGACUGCCCGGGUUAACCGGGAGGAAGGUGGGGAUGACGUCAAAUCAUCAUGCCCCUUAUGUCUAGGGCUACACACGUGCUACAAUGGUCGGUACAGAAAGAUGCUAAGCCGCGAGGUGGAGCCAAACUUUAAAACCGAUCUCAGUUCGGAUUGUAGGCUGAAACUCGCCUACAUGAAGCUGGAGUUGCUAGUAAUCGCGAAUCAGAAUGUCGCGGUGAAUACGUUCCCGGGCCUUGUACACACCGCCCGUCACACCAUGAGAGUUGGCAAUACCCAAAGUUCGUGAGCUAACGCGUAAGCGGGGCAGCGACCUAAGGUAGGGGUCAGCGAUUGGGGUGAAGUCGUAACAAGGUAGCCGUAGGAGAACC
rnacentral:rRNA from 1 species